rnacentral:rRNA from 1 species
AAUGCUCCAUAGUGGAUAUGUCCUGGAAUGGUAUAUCCUCGAAAGAUCCGUCGCCUUAGGAUGGGACUGCGUCCGAUUAGGUUGUUGGCGGGGUAACGGCCCACCAAGCCAUUGAUCGGUACGGGUUGUGGGAGCAAGAUCCCGGAGAUGGAUUCUGAGACAUGAAUCCAGGCCCUACGGGGCGCAGCAGGCGCGCAAACUUUACAAUGCGAGCAAUCGUGAUAAGGAAACCCUGAGUGCCUGUCGAUGCAGGCUGUUCAUAUAUCUAAAUCAUAUGUGAAGAAAGGGCAGGGCAAGACCGGUGCCAGCA